rfam:Picea glauca, whole genome shotgun sequence.
AUGUACAUGCCUACAACAUGAAUGCACCGAAUCCCAUUAGAACUCUACACUUAAGCGCGGUUGGGCUAGAGUAGUACUAGGAUGGGUGACCUUUCGACAAGUCCUAGUGUUUUACAUG